rnacentral:rRNA from 1 species
GCCAUGCGAGUCGAGAGGUGUAAGACCUCGGCAUACUGCUCAGUAACACGUGGUUAACCUGCCCUAAGGUGGAGAAUACUCCCGGGAAACUGGGGUUAAUGCUCCAUAGUGGAUAUGUCCUGGAAUGGUAUAUCCUCGAAAGAUCCGUCGCCUUAGGAUGGGACUGCGUCCGAUUAGGUUGUUGGCGGGGUAACGGCCCACCAAGCCAUUGAUCGGUACGGGUUGUGGGAGCAAGAUCCCGGAGAUGGAUUCUGAGACAUGAAUCCAGGCCCUACGGGGCGCAGCAGGCGCGCAAACUUUACAAUGCGAGCAAUCGUGAUAAGGAAACCCUGAGUGCCUGUCGAUGCAGGCUGUUCAUAUAUCUAAAUCAUAUGUGAAGAAAGGGCAGGGCAAGACCGGUGCCAGCCGCCGCGGUAAUACCGGCUGCUCGAGUGAUGGCCACUAUUACUGGGUUUAAAGCGUCCGUAGCUUGACUGUUAGGUCCCUUGGGAAAUCUUCGCGCUUAACGUGAAGGCGUCUAAGAGAUACCGGCAGUCUUGGAACUGGGAGAGGUAAACCGUACUUCGGGGGUAGGAGUGAAAUCUUGUAAUCCUCGAGGGACGACCUAUGGCGAAGGCAGUUUACCAGAACAGCUUCGACAGUGAGGGACGAAAGCUGGGGGAGCAAACGGGAUUAGAUACCCCGGUAGUCCCAGCCGUAAACAAUGUGCGUUAGGUGUGUCGGUAACCACGCGUUACUGAUGCGCCGAAGAGAAAUCGUGAAACGCACCACCUGGGAAGUACGGU